CUACGGAGGGGGUUAGCGUUGUUCGGAAUUACUGGGCGUAAAGCGCACGUAGGCGGAUUGGAAAGUAGGGGGUGAAAUCCCAGGGCUCAACCCUGGAACUGCCUCCUAAACUAUCAGUCUAGAGUUCGAGAGAGGUGAGUGGAAUUCCAAGUGUAGAGGUGAAAUUCGUAGAUAUUUGGAGGAACACCAGUGGCGAAGGCGGCUCACUGGCUCGAUACUGACGCUGAGGUGCGAAAGCAUGGGGAGCAAACAGGAUUAGAAACCCUUGUAGUCC
rnacentral:rRNA from 1 species